GGCUAACGCUGGCGGCGUGUCUUAGCCAUGCAAGUCGAGCGGACUUAUGGGGUAACUUAUAAGUCAGCGGCGGACGGCGGAGUAACACGUAGCUAACCUACCCUCUGGACGGGGAUAACCUACCGAAAGGUGGGCUAAUACCCGAUGUAGUCAUCCUGUAUAGGGGUGAUGAAAGGUGGGCUUCUGUUUACAAGCUCAUGCUGGAGGAGGGGGCUGCGGCCUAUCAGGUAGUUGGUAGGGUAAUAGCCUACCAAGCCGAUGACGGGUAGCCGGCCUGAGAGGGUGACCGGCCCGAGGGGCACUGAGGAUACGGGUCCCACUCUUACGGGAGGCAGCAGGCUAGAAAUUUGGGCAAUGGGGGAAACCCUGACCCAGUGACGCCGCGUGCAGGAAGGAGCCCUUCGGGGUGUAAACUGCUGUCGUGUAGGGAGAAGGGUACUAAGGUGAACAAUCUUAGUACUUGACGGUACUACAGGAGGAAGCCCAGGCUAACUCGUG
rnacentral:rRNA from 1 species